GCAUGGUGGUGCACACCUUAAUCUUAGCCACUGGAGAGGCUGAGGCUGUCAGAUCUCUGGAGCUCAGGAGUUUUGAGCUGCAGUAGGCUAUUCAGAGGCCAUGCCAAACUAAGUUCAGCACCCAUAUUUUGAGCCCCUGGGAGCAGGGCUCAAAUAUUGCCCAAGGAGGGCUGAACAAGCCCACAUCAGAAAUGAAAUGAGUCAAAGCCCCCAUGCCAGUCAGUAGUGGAAUGGUCGCAUAAGCAGCCUCUACACUUCUAAGAGGGAAGACCCAGUCUUC
rnacentral:SRP_RNA from 1 species